rnacentral:rRNA from 1 species
UACGUAGGGUGCGAGCGUUAAUCGGAAUUACUGGGCGUAAAGCGUGCGCAGGCGGCUUUGCAAGACAGAUGUGAAAUCCCCCGGGCUCAACCUGGGAACUGCAUUUGUGACUGCAAGGCUGGAGUGCGGCAGAGGGGGAUGGAAUUCCGCGUGUAGCAGUGAAAUGCGUAGAUAUGCGGAGGAACACCGAUGGCGAAGGCAAUCCCCUGGGCCUGCACUGACGCUUAUGCACGAAAGCGUGGGAGCAAACAGG